GUCCAACAGAUACUUCCCUCGUCACCCACGAGCAGCUUCAGAGGGUUACCUAAGGCGGCGGAGUCCUCGCCAGGCCUCAGUUUACCCUUCCCUGGGUCGCGGACCCGAGCGCCCCGAGACGCUAGUCGGGGACCCUGUCCGGCAGAAGGAGGGAAGCUGUCAGGGACGGCGGGGCCGGGCCGCGCGGAGGCGCCCUUGCCGCAGCGCCGGAGCCCAACGGCCGAGACUCGCGCCGCCCCGCGGCGGGAGGCGCGGGGACAGGACGGGGCGGAGUCCGGAGGAACGAGGGGAACCCCCGCCCCCGCCCCCCGCCGCAGCCACCGCCUCGGUCGAGCCCCCGGCAGCCGCGCGCUGCUCUCCCGAGCCGCUCCCGCCCGCCCCCUUCCUCCGUCCUCCCUCUCCCCCUCCCUCCCUGCGCAGCGGAUACAUGGCGGCGGGAAGGGAGUGAGCCGCUCCGCGCCCCGCGCCCCACGCCGCCAGCGCCGCCGCCGCCGCGCCCGCAGAUUUCUCCAUUUUGCCAAGGAGGAACAUUUUCUUAUUUGGUAUUGCUGAUGGUAUCAUGCAAAAAUCAGAUCCUCAAAAAGGUCAGAACCUAUAUUUAUACAUCAUAGAAAUAGAGAGUUAUCCUCUAUUAGACUGUAUAUGAAUGUAUG
rnacentral:lncRNA from 1 species